rnacentral:misc_RNA from 1 species
GAUGAAGAACGCAGCGAAAUGCGAUAAGUAGUGUGAAUUGCAGAAUUCAGUGAAUCAUCGAAUCUUUGAACGCACAUUGCGCCCCUUGGUAUUCCAUGGGGCAUGCCUGUUCGAGCGUCAUUUGUACUCUCAAGCUUUGCUUGGUGUUGGGUGUUUGUCUAGACCUUGCGUAUAGACUCGCCUUAAAUAUAUUGGCAGCCGAUAUUUUGGUUUGAAGCGCAGCACAUUUUGCGUCUUUGGCCUCUAUUUAUCAGCGUCCAAAAAGUAUAAUUAACACGCUUGACCUCGGAUCAGGUAGGGAUACCCGCUGAACUUAAGCAUAUCAAUAAGCGGAGGA